CAGCCGCCGCGGGAAUACGUAGGUGGCAAGCGUUGUCCGGAAUUAUUGAGCGUAAAGGGCUGGCAGGCGGUUUCUUAAGUCUGAUGUGAAAGCCCCCGGCUCAACCGGGGAGGGUCAUUGGAAACUGGGAAACUUGAGUGCAGAAGAGGAGAGUGGAAUUCCACGUGUAGCGGUGAAAUGCGUAGAGAUGUGGAGGAACACCAGUGGCGAAGGCGACUCUCUGGUCUGUAACUGACGCUGAGGAGCGAAAGCGUGGGGAGCGAACAGGAUUAGAUACCCCCGUAGUCCCUGUCUCUUAUAC
rnacentral:rRNA from 1 species